GUGGGGAAUAUUGGACAAUGGGGGAAACCCUGAUCCAGCGACGCCGCGUGAGUGAAGAAGUAUUUCGGUAUGUAAAGCUCUAUCAGCAGGGAAGAAAAUGACGGUACCUGACUAAGAAGCCCCGGCUAACUACGUGCCAGCAGCCGCGGUAAUACGUAGGGGGCAAGCGUUAUCCGGAUUUACUGGGUGUAAAGGGAGCGUAGACGGCACUGCAAGUCUGGAGUGAAAGCCCGGGGCUCAACCCCGGGACUGCUUUGGAAACUGUGGUGCUGGAGUGCAGGAGAGGUAAGUGGAAUUCCUAGUGUAGCGGUGAAAUGCGUAGAUAUUAGGAGGAACACCAGUGGCGAAGGCGGCUUACUGGACUGUAACUGACGUUGAGGCUCGAAAGCGUGGGGAGCAAACAGGAUUAGAAACCCCUGUAGUCC
rnacentral:rRNA from 1 species